AUUCCUUUGUUUUGAUCGCAUAAAAAUGAGAAGCUCUCUACCCAGCAACGACGACGUUUUCCAAAGCCAAGGUAAUGAUAAUAUUCUUGCUCAUGUUCUGUUUUGCUUGGUGAAGAGCAGGAGAAGCGAACGUCCACUGUGUUUGGUGACUGCACAUAUCUAUUGCUUGGGAUACUUGCAUGCCAUGAUGCGUCUUGCUUCUUUGACAACUAUGUUAACAGCUCCUAUUGUCCGUGUAGCAUCCCUAAGAAAGUGUAGCUUGCAAGAGAGGGAGAUGGAUAUGUGCAAAUCCUCAUAUAAGAUAAUAUUGGGUUCAUCAUCCAUGGCUCGGCGGCAAAUUCUAGCUGAGAUGGGAUAUGAGUUCUCGAUUAUGACUGCAGAUAUAGAUGAGAAGAGCAUAAGGAAAGAGAAGCCAGAGGAAUUGGUUAUGGCUUUGGCUCAUGCCAAGGCAGAUGCUAUCAUAACAAGGCUCCAAUCUUUGGGUCAUUUGGAAGAGAAUGCUCGUGCAACCUUGUUGAUUACAGCAGACACAGUGGUCUUGUACAAAGGGAUGAUUAGAGAAAAGCCAACCAGCAAGGAAGAAGCAUGGAAUUUCAUCAAAGGAUAUUCCGGUGGUCAUGCAGCAGUUAUAGGAUCCGUACUAGUAAGUAACCUUACUACAGGAACAAGAAAAGGGGCAUGGGAGACAGCAGAGGUUUAUUUCCAUGAGAUACCAGAUGAGGUUAUUGAUAGUCUGAUUGAGGAGGAAGUUACAUUCAAGGUGGCUGGGGGUCUUAUGCUAGAGCACCCACUGACCUCACCUUUUGUUGAAGCAGUGGUUGAGGAAUUGAUUGUUUGGUCACCAAGUUUAGUAUCCAUUUCAUCUCACCGUCGGCACAAGGAGAGGCAUAGUAUCAUUUUCAGCCGUUCCUCAGAAAACAGUGAUAGGAGCUUCUACGAGUGGUGCUCAUGCGCCGAUCUAAGUUUUGGCCCCAAUUUCAUGCGACGGCGCGUGGGAGCACGUAUGACGUCCGUUUGACCUCCGAUUUAUUCCCCGAUGAUUGCAUGGUCAUUUCCGGUGCAUUUCUGGUGGAACUUCAGCCCUCUGAUGUUGAUUAGAAAGUGUUAUUAAGUGGCAGCCUACUGUUCAUUGGGUUACUAUUCACUAGGUAGGGAGUACUGACACAGUGAUGGGACUUUCAACAUCUCUUACUGAAAAACUCAUUGCUGAAGCCCUAUAGAAUUUGUCUUGAUUUAAAGCUGUUUGAUUUGAUGUAAAGGAAAAGGAAGUUUUGCCCAACAAUUGGGUUGCCCCAAAUCAAAUGGCGUCUUGAUGAGCAAAACAUAUGAUUGAACAGAUAAUAUUGACUGUUUUUUUGGGAAGUCAGGUGAAUUCAAAUCCAAUCCUUAUUUUCUUGUGCGGAGUUUGAGCUUUAUUCUAUCAAUGGCUUGAUUUUUUUGUCCCAUAACAAUUUAUUUUCCUGCAAACAAAAUGAUACAUAUUGAAUCUAAUGUGUAUCUACUAUUUAUUAC